rnacentral:lncRNA from 1 species
GCAAAAGAGGAAGAGAAAGGCUUCAUUACAAUGUAAUACACAUAGUAAGCUAUUAACAUCCAUAUGAUAUGAAUGUGCAAACCUUUUACAUCCCAUUCCUAAACACAAUGUACUUGGAUCAAUAGGAAUUACUUUGAAGUUGCAUUUUUUGAGUUGGGAUGCUAAGAUAUUUUCAUGGACAUAAUUACUAUAAGGAUUGAUUUGAUAUGGGGAAGUACUUCUUAAAAUUCACAACUUGUAUAGAUUUGCAAGUGGAACUAUAACCAUUAGAAAAGUAAUGUAAUUAAUAUAUAUCAUACAAUUAAUGUAUAUUAAUUAAUAAUGUAAUUGAUAUCUUUUUAAACUGGCAAACUUUUUUUUACAAAAUGGAAUUUUAAAUGGUAAAAAUUAAGCCAUCUUUUGAUUCAACAUGUAGGAUACUUCGUUUUAGAUGUCUUUUAAGCCUGCAGUCUCUUGUGCACUUACCUGGAAGUAGAUCUCAUGAAUAGAAUACAGUAUGUUUUUCUGUGUAGACAAACAGGAUUGCAGUUGCAGCACAAUCCUACAUGUCAACACAAAUGUUUGUCCCAUUAGAUUCAAUGGUACUUACUCACAGGUUAGAAAGGUUUCAAAUACAGUAAAUAAGUCAGAAUUGAUCUAAAAUACUGGUAUUACACUAAUAUUUCAGUGAUACAGAGCAAGUUGUGGAGAUAAGCAAGGCCAGAAAGGGAUGGUGAGAAACAAAACCCUUCACUUGGUACAGUGUUUACCUCAACUUUUACGUCAUUAAAAUGAAGUACUGUACCUAGAAAAGAAGUUUUUUGUUCCCACAGCCUCUCAAGAUUGAAGAACUGUUUUUCACAGAUAAAGGCCAUCCAAAUUGCAAUAUUCCUGUAUGCUUCUAGGCAUAUACAUAAAAAUUAUCCUCAGUCUCCUCACCACCAAUACUUAAAAUAUUAUUUGUAGGAAAAUAGGGUGAAUAUAGGAAUGCCAUUUUUCUAGGAAGACAUUUGCUAAAAGCUGAAAGAUGAGGAAGCAAGUCACGCACUGACCUGCUUUUCUUGCCUCCCCACAUCAGUUAGUAAGAAGAAAAGCAGAAACAAAGAAUUCCAACCCAUUUGCUUCGAAGGCUUGGUUUUUAUGGAAAGGGGGAUGGAGGAGUUCAUGAAAUGCUGAGUAGGAAGUGCAAUGACUCAUCAUAAUCGCAGUAUUUCCCUGGGACAAUUAGCAUCCACUACUCAUCCUCCAUCUUGAAGGUGGGAGGCCUUAUGAGGACUUUUAAUUCUGCCAUUUCACUUCGUGGGACAGGAACCCUCCUCCCCUAACACCCCUCUUUCAACUUCCCCCAACAUUGUACUGUUUUAAUCUCCCUGCCUGUACUUUUAGAAACCGUCCUUCUUUUUCAACCACAUUACCCCGUUGGGGUCAUUGCUGUUGUUGUUGUUCAUAAUCUUGAUUUAUGGCAAGCAUUAGUUGUGUUCUAUAAAUGCAAUUAAUUAUUGCUGUCAGAAAUUAUCAUUAAUAAUCACCUUUAAUAACGUGUAGACAGUCGACCAGUUCUGUA